rnacentral:lncRNA from 1 species
AAUAGAAAAAGAGAAGAAGGAAGACAAAAAAGAAGAAUAAGAGGAAGAGAAAGAGGAGAUCGUGGAAGUAGUGGUACGACGACGAUUACUACGAUGAUGGUUAAAAUUAAAGGAGAAGGAAGAAGAAAAGGAAGAAAAAAAUGAAGACAAAGAGAAAGAUGAGAAAGGGGAAUUGGAAACGACAUUAAUGAUAGAGACACGAUGAUAAAAUGAGGAAGAAAAAAAAAAGAAGAGAAAAUGAGGAGAAAAAGUAUUUGUUAAUGAUAUUUACAAAGAUCCAUAAUCCAUCAAUAUCUACAAAAAAAUAUUUAUUGACAUAUUUAAAAUAGUUGGUAAUUAUCAACAGAUUUAUGAUUCGUCAAUAAAAUUGAUGAACAUUUUAUCAAUUUAAU